GAAUACCAUGCAAGUCGAACGGAAUUAGAGAGCUUGCUCUUUAAUUUAGUGGCGCACGGGUGAGUAACGCGUAGAUAAUCUGCCCUUGUAUCUGGGAUAACAUUUCGAAAGGGGUGCUAAUACCGGAUAAGCCCACGACGGCUUUGGUCGUUGCGGGAAAAGGAGGCCUCUGAAUAUGCUUCUGUACGAGGAUGAGUCUGCGUACCAUUAGCUAGUUGGUAGGGUAAAGGCCUACCAAGGCGACGAUGGUUAGCUGGUCUGAGAGGAUGAU
rnacentral:rRNA from 1 species